UCGUUUAGAAAAACAUGUUUUAAACAGCAACCAUGUGGCUUUCCUCCAUCUUGGUUGGUGACCUCAUAGGCAGCCACGUGGCUGAUGACCAUCUUUUACUAAAGGUUACAAGCCUCUGUUCAGAUUAACAAAAGCUAACUUGGAGAUUUACACCUGAGUACUUAAGUCUUUGCUAAGUGUUCAACAGUAAACUUCAAGAGAAUUUAAAGAGAUGGCUACAUGUGUUUAAUAAGGUAUUUGAUGAAUGUUAAAGCUGCAUCUCAAUGCUGUUAUAGACAAGAAUGUACCUUGCUCUGGCAGCUGAACUUUGUAAUUUAAGAGUCACUCAGGUGAUAGUCACCAGGAAUUGAGAUGUUCAUUUCUUGUGAUGCAGCAAGACAAUGACCUAGGCAAAGGGCUUGGAACAGCUUCUGACUCCAUGAGCCUCCACCCUUUGGGGGUUGAAAAACCUUUUUACAGGGGUGGCCCAGGACCAUGUGUACAUCAGAUAUUUGCAUUGAUAUUUGUAACAAAGGCAAAACUGCAAUUAUGAAAUAGCAUUGGGAAGUUGAGAACCAGUGAUGUGGAGAAUGUUUCUCCUUACUCAAGGUCUAUUCAGGCAUUAGAAUGUGUGUCUAGCCUCUUUGUCAUUGCUAAAUUUGUUAAGCUUAAGCUAUUUGGAUAACUGAGUCAUAUAAAUGUUUUAUAUUGAUACUAGAAGGAGCUUAGGGCCCUUCCACUAACAUGUCCAUUGUGUUUUAGUUUCUUUACUGAACCCAUACUUGAUACUAGAAGAGCUUCGAUUCAAAAUCAUUGUUUUUAAGGUACUUAUUGUAGACUGUUAGAGAACAUAAGUAAAUAGUCAUCUUAUAAAUAAUCAAGUUCUUUAAUUGUAGUCAUGCUAAGUACUGAAGUAAUAAAUUACAGGAAUAACUGUAUAUGUUUUAAUAUGUUUUCAGGGUUGAGUUUAAAACAAGUAACUAGAAACAAAGUUUGUCUAUUCAGAUGUACCUGGACAGCUCUCAUACUUCAGAGAUCUGCAGAAUAUGGCAUUUAAAAUGUUGAUCUAAAAGCUUAUUAUAUUGGAGAGACUCCCAGAUCCUAGCAGUGACUCAAGGUCUCCAAAGAAGAUAACAUAGAGGGCACCACAUUGUCUCUGCCUAGAUUAUGGCAACACUGACCACAGGGCAAGAUGCCCCCACAAUGCAACACCUGUCACCAGGACCCGGCACAGACUGUGGGAAAAACUCUCCUUUAUGUGUCUGAUGGCUGAAGAAGAUGAUGUUGUUCUGAUAUUUGUGCCUCCAAUGCUGUGGAGACCUGGAUAUGGACUGGUCCCUGUCAUUUAUAGAUUUGGAAGCUGCUUGGUCUGCACUCAGAUGUAAUUUAUCCUUCUAUCAUCUCUGAUAGUACUGACAGCUAGGCUAGCUAUAACUUUGUCAGGUUGGCAACAUCAAACAACCAGAUCCUUCUGCAAGGCUAUAGCCAGCUUGUUAGCUCAUUUUUAAGAAAAUGUUCUAAGAUAAAAGUUUAAACAAGUUAUAAAGGUUUAAAUAUGGGUCUAAGAAAGGUCUAAGGAUAUGAAAGCUUUUAAGCUUUGAGGAUCGCAGAAAAUAAUUUAAGAUAUAAAUGCAAGUUGUAAAGAUAUAGAUAAAUGAUUUAGAUUAUGAGAAAUGUUUUAGAUUGCUCUCUCCUUCUAUGAUAUAACAGUUCAGAGCUUAACAUUUAAUAGAGUUCUGAUAACCUGGUAGAGCAAUGACUUCUUACUGUUCAAUCACAAGCUCAACAUUUGAAAUUUAUUUUGGUUGUGUUCUAAAUAUAAACUUAAAAAUGCUCAUCAGGCCAAAAAAAAUCUCUGUCCAAUUUAUACCUGACUCUCUGGACAGAAGGAAACUGCACAAGCUUUUAGCCCAAAUCUGUAGUUUUUGCUAGGACUCAAAGGUAUGAUUCUACUUAUGCUAUUUUACAGAUACCCAUCACCUGCUUUGUCUAUGAUAUGGAUAUCAGUACAGAUUGGUAAUAUUAAUGUAUCUAAAAUUUUUAUGUCAUUUUGUAAGAUAGUUUGUGUAGGCCUCAGAGGACUUAAAAAGCCUGAUUCCACUUCACAGGGUCGGAAGAACUUCAGGUAAGUACAGCUUAAAUUUCCCCCACUUGUCUAUUCCUAAAGAUGAUAUUUUUUUUCUCUCCUGGUCUCAGAACUCCAGCUCUUUCCAAUUACUAAGAAUACGGGCCUAAAAAUUCCAAAUAAGUUCAUAAAUUUUAACUUCUGUUCCUAGUUUAAAUUUGUCUCAACAGGUUUACACUUGGCUGGAAGACACCUCCAAGCUUCAGUUGCUGACUACACUGCUCUGGAGGACUACGAGCUCUGGACUUGCUAAAAGCUGACAUGGACCAGCCCAGCCAACAUGAUUGUUCCCUGUCUCUACAGUGGGUUAAGCUAGCCACAUGCUUCUGACAGAUGCCCCAUUGCCCAGCCUUUGGCUAGCAUUUCAGCCUUUUGGGGCCCUGACAAUGGUGCCCCAAUGUCAGCUUGAAGCAGUUCCAGAGGAGACUACAUUGUCCCAUGUUCCCUGCCCAAAAUAGCUUGAAAUGCUGGUUCAAAAGGAAACUCCCUGGCACAGGGGCAAGAUAAGAUAGCCAACCAUAAUGUCCAUUGACAUACCAGAAAAAUAGGUUCAGAGUUGUCAGUUGAUAAGAUUAUUAACUGAAAUGGCUCUGUAAUAAGAUAAGAUACUUGACCUACUUUGUGCAGAACCAAAGAGGUAUUAUGGGUUGUACUCAGAGAUCAGAACUACAGGGCCUUAAGAAUGGUAAUAGAUACAGAUGUCGCUGCCCUAGAAAAAUCUGUUAGCUGAUGGUUCUUAGGUCCCAAUUCCCUUGAAUCCCUGGACAGGUAGAACUCAUGAUUGAGUUAUGUCAUUGGUACUUGUGAAGGGGGGGGGGAGGCGGAUGUGGGAAUGGUAAAACAGCUUGACCACACAGCUGCCAUGACAGGCUUAGAGGCCCAAACACAGCUUCUGGCAGGCAGCACCUGGACCCAGGAAAAGCCAUAAGCUGACCCCACCCAGUGUGGCCUUCAUCUAAGAGGAAAUGCCUGACAUUCCAAAUACUCCCUAUACCUCUAGACAAAUGUCAGCCAAUCAGGGUCCUGAACCCUGGAAAUCCCCUCACCCCAACCUCUGCUAUGAUAAAAA